UACUGGAGGUUUUUAAAAUGAGAUAGCGGGGCAAACAGACAGACAUGAGGCUACAUCACAAGGCAAUUAGAAGGUUGGACAGCAGAGUAUGCAGCGGUGGUUAAUUAUUACAGAGAUCCCUUACCUGAUUGAAUGUUUGCUUUACUUAAGUACAGUCAUCUCUGAUAAGUUGAGUGAUGGUGUCUCACAUCCUGUAGUCCUCUGGUGGCUUUCCUUGCCUGUCACUUUAGAGACAUAGCCACUAGGCAGUUUUUUCUAGGAAAAUUAUUGAUGAAACACUGCCUGCAAGUACGUGAUCUCUGAAAAAAAUUCAAGUUUUGUUCUUAGGUUGAUUAGAAACACAGAUGUCCAACAGAAGAUAACUGUUGAUGAUAGCUGAUUCCGAUUGUUGAAGGGGAAAAAAACCAACCAAACCUUGGCCUUUCUGCAAGGGUGGCAUAUGGAUCAGUUCCAAGAACAUACUACUACCUC
rnacentral:lncRNA from 1 species